UGGGGAAUUUUGCACAAUGGGGGAAACCCUGAUGCAGCGACGCCGCGUGAUUUAGAAGGCCUUCGGGUUGUAAAAAUCUUUUGUAUGGGAAGAAAAUGACAGUACCAUACGAAUAAGGACCGGCUAAUUACGUGCCAGCAGCCGCGGUAAUACGUAAGGUCCGAGCGUUGUCCGGAAUUAUUGGGCGUAAAGCGCGCGCAGGUGGUUUAGAAAGUCUGAUGUGAAAGCCCACGGCUCAACCGUGGAGGGUCAUUGGAAACUAAUAAACUUGAGUGCAGGAGAGAAAAGGGGAAUUCCUAGUGUAGCGGUGAAAUGCGUAGAGAUUAGGAGGAACACCGGUGGCGAAAGCGGCUUUUUGGCCUGCAACUGACACUGAGGCGCGAAAGCGUGGGGAGCAAACAGG
rnacentral:rRNA from 1 species